AGGGCAGGGCAGAGACCCAUUGUCCAGAUGGAGAGAGCAAGUCCCAGUGACUCACCUAAAGUCAUACAGCCUGGGGUGGGGGAGAGGGGGGGUAUGGAGCCCAGGGAAGAGCCCCAGGAGCCCAGAGCACACCCCAAGACUCCCACAGCUUCCCUCCCCCAGCUCGCUGAUAGCUGUGUCUGGUGAUGCUGGCCAAAAGGGAAGACAUUGGCUGUUACUGUAGUGAGGCCCUUGCACUCCUUCAAGCAGGAAACAGAAGUCAGAGGGGGAAGAGAGGCAUUUCCCUGAGGCCUUAGGGACCCCUCUGCACUCCAGCCUAGGUCCUGAUCCUCAGAGGGGGCUGGGCCAGGGCAACACAGCAGUCUGGACCCCCAGAUACCUGAUUCUGAGUUUGACUCAGCCAGCCCUCCCCUACCUGGAAUCCUGACUUCUGACCCUCACGGGUCCUUCCCGGGUCAUUGCCUCCAUAGCUGUACACACCCUCCCCACACCUUGGGGUUGCCUUAAACAAUCGUAUUCUGGCAGAAGUCAAAUAUAUCAGGCAUCUGUCAGACUCCAGCUGGAUUAUCCAAUGGGCAGACCACUGAGCUGUGAACCCAGCAAAACCAAUCUGGCCACUGCCCAAAGCGGGCACUCCCCACAAAACUGCCUCUGGACCCUUAGUCCACAGGAGGCUUUUGUUGAAAACAGAGGCUAAACCUGGUGGAAGGUUCCUUUUCCUUCACCCGACCCCCAGCCACCUCCACCAGCAAGCCUAGGCACCUCCGCAGGGGAAAAUAAGCUGGGAGGGAGGAGAGAUUCUGAGCAGGCUCCCAAUAUCAGAGCUAGAGGGGAAGCAGGAAACUCCUUGGCAAUCCUUCAAUACACAGGGAAAUGAAGGCUGCAGGGUAAGGAAAGGAGAGUAGCAUCUGAAGUUCUGGGUUCUAGCAUUAGCUUAGCUACUGUGUGACCCUGAACAAAUGCCUUCUGCACCCAUGCUCUGGGGUCUCCCCACCACCUUGCUGUGCCAGGGUUCUAGUUAAAGCAUGUAAGGAGCUCAGGCCUGACCGCUGCAGUCAGUCGCCUGUGGAGUCCUCUCCUGACCACCCCUCCAGCUCCUACCCCCACCCCAGGUCCUGGGGACUUAGGGCAGGUGGGGUGGGGGGAGGGAGGAUGUGGUGUCACCCCAGGGAGGGGCAGCAGGGAAGGGAAACUGAGUGUGUCCCUAGCUUGCCCCAGCCUGUCCCCUGCAUCCGGGGAAGGGUAAGAGUGACUGUCAGCUGGGGAAGGGGGGCAAGAGGGGCAGGCUGGGAGGGGCAGGGAACCCCCGUCUGGACUUGCCGGGACAGCCGGGUGCAGCUGUUUCCGGCUGAUGAAAGGGCCCUGAUUGAUAUGGCAGCAGUGACUGACGCUAACCCCCAAAUCUGAGCCCUUCCCAUCCUCCCCAACCUGGGCACGCCCAGGGGCCCCCUUUAAGCCAGGGAGAAAAGAAGAAUGGGGCUCCUGCUGCCACUGGGUACCAUCCUCCAAAGGCAGGGAGGGGGGGCUUGUCUCAUCUUCCCUGCCCUAGCCCAGCAGGGGCAGGGAGGCUGGGGCUGGGCCAGGGUCUGGGAAGACAGGGCUAGGGAAGAGGGGCAAAGGGCUUGCUCCCUCCUCUCCCCACCCUGCAGUGCAUCCACACACGUUUGAACAUUCACAUGCAUAUCCGUCUAGCCUCUGGGGAUGGCUGAGAGGAGAACAAAGCUUGUUACUGAGCAUUCGUUUUACAAUCUAGCCAUCUGUGUUUUGCUAAACAAUAGCUAACGUAUAUUGAACCGGUCGUGCGUGCAUAGUAUCCUGCUAAGACCUUUAGGUACACAGCCUUAUGAGGUAGUGCUCACCUCACCCCCAUUUUAUAGAUGAAGAUGUAGAGGCCCAGAGUGGUUAAGGAAUUUGCCAGUGGUCACACAGCAGUCAGAGGCAGAGUGAAGAUGUGAACUCAGUCUCCAGGGCCUGAGGCCCUAACCACUGUGCUAUACUGCCUUCAGAGGCAACUUGUAACCAGCUUAUAAACAAAUAAUGACCUUAUAAUUGGGAUUUCUUUUUUUAGAAUUUUUUUAAGUUUAGUUUGAGAGAGAGCAAGAGGGGGAGGGGCAGAGAGAGGCAGGGACAGAGGAUCUGAAGUGGGCUCCGUGCCGACAGCAGAGAACCUGAUGCGGGGCUUGAACCCCACAUGGAGAGAUCAUGACCUGAGCUGAAGUCAGAUGCUUAACUGACUGAGCCACCCAGGCACCCCUGGGAAAGGUUUUAAAUAGAGAUGUACAAGGUACAAUGAGUCCUCAGAGGAGAGGCACUGUGGAUGGGGAUGGGGGGAAAGGGAGAGGAGAGGUUUCUAGGACAGUAAACAUUUGAAAUGGAAUUGAAGGGUUUUCCCUAGUUUAGUUAUUUUUUUAACUUUUUUUAUAGUAAAAUAUACAAAACAUAAAAUUUAGCAUUUUAAGCAUAUAAUUCAGUGGCGGUUUUUAAUUUUGAUGGAGUCCAAUUAAUCUUUUUUCUUUUGUUGCCUGUGUUUUGGGCAUCAUACUAAAGAAAUCAUUGCCAAAUCCAAGGUCUUAAAUUUUUUCCCUAGGUUUUCUUCUAAGAGUUUCAAAGUUUUAGCUCUUAAAUUUGGGUGACUAAUCCAUUUUGAGGUAAUUUUUAAUGUUUAUUUACUUUUGAGAGACACAGACAGAGUGUGGGGGGGGGGGGAGGGGCGGAGAGAGAGGGACACAGAAUCCAAAGAAGACUCCAGGCUCUGAGCAGUCAGCACAGAGCCCAAAGUAGGACUUGAACUCAAGAUCCAUGAGAUCAUGACCUAAGCCGCAGUCGGAGGUUUAACCAACUGAGCCAGCCAGGAAUCCUUUGAGAAGCAACAAAAAGCAGGCAUCUUCAUUUUGUUUUGGAUUGCAGGGGAAAAGCUUUCUGUCUUUCACCAUUGAACGACAUUAGGACUCCUCUGAGCCUCCAACACGCUAAUCUGGGCCACGACCCUCUGAGGGGAGGAAUGAGACAAGGAAACUCGUUUGGUCUCAGAGCUCUUUAUAGAGAAGCAUCUCAAGAGACACUUGCAAGCAAACAUUCACUGAACACUUACUAUCUUCUAAGAACGCGGCUAAACCCUUGAGAUUUAUUUUUGGGCAACACCGAGGACCUCAGUAAAAGGGGCUUCGAUGAAGAUGCCUCCCCCCGCCCGACCAUCUCCAGGGGGAGCCGUGUGAUUCAGCCCUGGCCACUCAAGCACCAAAAUAUCUUGGCUUCAGUGAUUGGCUCAAGAAGGACAGACGACCCAAACGAGGCCAACAGGGCUAAUCCCCGGAGUUCGCUGGAGUCACCAGUUUUCUGCUCUGGAAUUGCUAGUGGGUGCGUGUCUGGCAAGAGCUGCCAGGAGUCCUGUCUAAGGAGGUGAUGCCUGAGGAGGGAGCUGACACAGGAGAGCAGACCUGAUGACAUUGUUCGAACUGUGCCAAAGACAGGUCCACCCCUGGACUUUUCAGUGAUCAUGAGCCAAUAAAUUACUUUUGUGUUGUUCUUGUCUUAAGCAAGUAUGAGUUGGGUUCCUUCCUUUGAAACGGAGAUCUAGCA